rnacentral:lncRNA from 1 species
ACAUUUUCAUAUCAGUAGUGCAUCGGAAUUAAAUUGACAUGAGUAAAUAAGUAUGUUCGUGGAUUGUCCCCGUCUAGAUUAGAAGAUUUAGAGAAUAUGAACAGGCUAAGUAGCACACUGGAUAACAAUAGCAACACAUGCAACAGGCUGAUAAAUGUAAAUUCUGUUCUCUAAAUAUAACUCAAUCCAACGCUGUCAAUUUAUACUAGUAGCGAGGUUAAUGUGUAGGGAGUGUGAUUGUAGUUAAACAUCAAUUUAAUAUCAUUGAGGCUGCAGAAUGAAGGGUGAAGCUUAUGAUAUGAGGACAUUGUUUCUGGAAUGCAGGCUCAUAAUGUCGUCAGUUUAUGUUUUUAUAUAUAUAAAUAUAUAAGCUAGAAAGAGAGCUAUUUUAUGAAAUAUUGCAGCCCAUACACUUAUACAAUAGCCAACUAUAUUAGGGCUGUCAGUUUUCAUUUGAUAUUCUAAUAUAGGUGCAGUGAUGCCACUUCACAACUUUAUUUUUGCAUGAUGCAGGCCAGGAGUGCUGAGUAGACAAUGAUGAGACUGAAAAGUCAAAAAUGAAUGCGAUGUUUUUCAAGCAGUCAUACUAAACAAAUGUCCCUAACAGGUGAUAUCAUCUUGCAUAUAUUUGGGAACCUACAGUAGGAGCACUUUGUUGUGGAGCGUCAGUGAUGCUGCAGGCCAGGAGUAGGCUACUGAGUGGACCACAGUGAGACUGAAAACAUAGUGAGUUGAGCAAACAGCCACUGGCAAACAUAUCAGACUCGGAGCCAGCCAUGGCAAAGGUCAGUGCAUUCUCAGCCCAGAGGUACAUCAUCGAUGACACAGCCACGGUGAGAUUUGCUAUGGAAAAGAUGAAUUUCCCUACUAAACAGUCACAGAAAUGUUUGUGUUUGAGUACCUGGCUAUUAUACACAAAUUUUCAUUGAUAUGUCUCACCCAGGAGAAGUUAAGGACUCUUCUGACAGGCUCGCGUGAUGAAACAAAGGUGAUAACCACCAUCAACAGGAAGUUCCCAUUAUCCAUAAAGGAUAUCCGCAGUGUCUGUCCUGUUGAGUUACUAGGCGAAUCAGCAUGGGUUAUGCCAUGGCUCACAGAUGAUGCCGUGAACUAUCGGGUUGCACAGCUUGCAAGGGGCAACUCAGAGACAGCAGCACUUGGUCAUUUCGACUUCAUAUUGUGGCACAGACAGUGGAUCAAAAACAAAAAUGUAGAUGACAGCCUACUAAAUCAUCUCCCUGUUCUGGAUUUCUCCAAAAAAGAAAUUUGUGUCUAUGACUCGUUGAAGACCAUGACGAGUAUUGAUGAGGAUGAUAUGGAUCUUCUAAGAAAUGUCUUCCGGAAGAGGGGAGGGUUGAAGGACUGGAGGGAGACGUACCAUGUCCAGUGGCGUCAGAAAGACUCUGUCAAUUGUGGGAUUUUUGUCUGCUCAGUGAGUAAAGUAGUGUAUUAUGUGUACAUAAAAAAUAUUUUAUAUAUAUAUAUAAACUUCAGUUCAGACUC